AACAUACUGGAGUUAAGAACCCAAUUAGUGUCUGUGAGGAUGCGAGUUUGAUUCCUUGUCUCACUCAGUGGGUUAAGGAUCUGGCUUAAGUCACAGAUACAGCUCAGAUCUCCUGCAGCUCCAAUUCAACCCUUAGCCUGGGAACUUCCAUAUGCCACAGGUGCGGACCUAAAAAAAAAAAAAAAAAAGUGUAUUUGAUGGUUUGUGGAUUGUAGCUCAACAAAAAUGAAAAGCAGCUUCCAGUUCUGUUGCUGGUGUUUAUAGACUCAGCCCAAAUCCCCUCUGUCUGCUGCAUCCCAGGGUUUUCUAGGUUAGCAGUUUGCAGAAUAGUGAGCGUUCAGACAGUGCUGGAGGCUAUGGUGCUUUUGGAGUCACUGCAUUUCAGAGAAGGCGACAAGGAGUAGGUUGGCUCAGGGAUGCCUCCUCCCUUACUUCCCACCUAUUCCUCCAUUUGCAGAACCAGGAAGGAAGAAAGAAUCAGGACAGGCCCCUCACCAGGAGAGGGAUGGGAAUCUGCAGAGUCAGGAGGAGUCUGGGAAUUAGCUGCCCUAUCUUAUAGAUGUCCAGAAGGACAGCCACCCUUUCUCGGGCCCGGGAGGAGUCACUGACCAAAGGCAGGACCCAGACCACAUAGACCUAGGCCGCCCAUUUUAAGAAAUGAGUUGCAGUAGCAAUAUGUGCUCCAUGUGGGGAAAUUGGAAAAUCUAUGUAAACAAAAGAAAUGUGUUUCCUGUAAUUCCACCAUCCUUUUCUGUUUUCUUUUAAACAAAAUUGGGGUGAUCCUAUGCAAUGCAUGCUGCUUUGUAAUCUGUUGCUUGCAUGGCAGCACUCCUGUCUCUUGAUGACCAUUGUUAACACUGCCCUGGUUUUCCCCACUACCCCAUUCAUUGUUUUCUGUAAGUCCUGAUGUACCUUACUUUGUGCACUGGGACACCCCUUUGCCCUCCAUGCUUUGGGGGUUAAGGGGGACCUUCUGGGGACUUCAGGCAAGAGAAGUGACCAACAGAUGCAGCACAUUCUCACCUCUUGCCUAUCGCUCCUUCUGUCAACAAGAUGAACAGGGCUGGCCGGGCACUUCCGCAGCACCUGUUUCCUUGGCCACGCCAGGGGAGCUUGAGAUGCUCGGAACAUAUCCGGUCCUCGCAUUCCAUCUUCUUUAAAGCUGCAUUUGCCUUUGGUUUUCUCCAGCCUUGCAAAUGACCACUCGCCCCAGGCCGGAUUGGGGCAGGUCAUUUACCUUCUUUACCAGCUUAAUGAAUGGCACUGUCCCGGGGCUGGGCAGAGAAAGGAAAAUGCAGGCAUUGAUUCACCUGCCAAGUUGAAGCCCAGAGUUAAGUAGCAAGGCAAGCAUCUCCUAUGUUACCAGUCCCAGACCCACCUAGUGAAGAUAUCCUACCUAAGAAGAGCCCUCCAAGAAAAAAAGGCUUUUCUUUUGGCGUUUCCUUCUCUGAAUGUACCUAGUGGAGGGAUUGCAGGUUUGGGUCAGACGAUGUGCUCCCUGCCCCCACCCCCCCACCCCCAGGAGAAGAUCCAUUACAGAUUGGAAAUGACUUUGUCUCUAAGUGCUCAUUGUCAGAUGGGAUGCACAUUCCCCUCAACCAAACAAAUAUAAAAUGCUUCCAGCCUCUGCCUUGAAUUUUCUAUUACUGUUUCACAGGACUCCAGAGAGUUUUCAGAUAGCAAUUUGAUUAAGCUUAUGGGGAAGAUCCCAUCAGAUAACAUUCUUUUUCUGCAGGUAGAGAUAAUGUGUUCAAGUAUUAAGUAUGUUUUAAAGGUAAUUAUCUUUUCCAUAUUCAUUUUAGUUACAGGAAUUGAAAAGGGGGAGACGUUGCCUCUGAAAGCUGCCCCUUGGGCCCUGGAGUCACUCCGAUGUCUCUCCUCUGGGAAACACAGUGGAGGUUUUUGACAAAUGAAGGAGCACUGGUGUGUCUGUUUUGCAGUGACUUGGGAUCCCCUGUCCCCUGGUCCAGGAGGCGGGGUCUUGGCCACUGUCCUCACCGGGCUCCCUCGCUUGGACUCUGUCCGGGGCUGCUUUCUGGGCUCCUCAUCCUAAGCUCCUGGGUCAUGGAAGGGGGCCUGGCUGCUGCUCAGAAAGAGGACUUGCCUCAUCCGAUGGUGAGUCGCAGGGCCAUAUCCUCACCUUCCAAAAUAGCACCUGGAAUCACCAUUUUCGUAUAUUAUGCUCAGUUUGGGGGUGUAUUCAGAUUAGAAGAGCCUACUUUGAGGUCUAGAAUUCUAACAUGUGUGGACUCCUAGACUGCCCAACUGGAGCAAGAGGCAUUAAGGAUGGUGAUCCUGAGCCUCAGAGAGGUCCAGUCACGGACCCAGGAUCACACAGCAAGUUAGGGAGACAUACUGUUGACUAGAACCCAGGAAUCUUGCUCGUGGACCAUUCCUCCGGUCCCCUCAACGCUGCCAUCUCCAGAAAAUGGUCCUCUUCCCUUUUCCUGGAAAUCUCCAGGGCAGGAGAUUCUGCCCAUGAGCCCUCCUUGGUGGUCUGUUAGUCAGGGGCUGCCCUGAGAGCUGCCAGGGCCCCUGGGCUCUGCGAAGCCCAGAGCAAGCACAGCACAGAUGCUGUGGACAUCCUCAGACCUCACUCACCUACCAGCUGUACGUUUGUAAGCAUGCUGUCAAUUUUUGCAAAAUAGAAAAAUCAGACCUAAAUCCUACCUUCAAAAAGCCAGCUAUUGCUUGGGGUGGGAGUGGGGCUGGCGGUGCAACACUCGCAUAUCUAAAAAGGUGAUUGAGGAUACAAGGCACUUGAAUAUGGCACAUACUGUGGGGACCCAGAGGUGGUGAUUGGAGUGUCCCACAUCCCUGUGUUUGCCUGAAAUCCUUUCUGCUGCCGCCAUAAACUCAGCAGUUCCUGUGCACAGGAUCCUUCACAUUAGGUAUCUGCCUGCUGGCCCAGAAGCAUGUGACAAGAUGGGCUGCAGCUUGCAGGUCUGAGGGCAGUCGACUCUGGGAAAGGACCCCAGGAGACAGGCUUAUCAUUUAAGGCCCGGGAUGGUGGCAUGCAGAGCCCCAUGGUCUCCAGACCGCUGCCCCAGUUCUGUCAGCUAGAGGUGGUCGUGGAGGAUGGAUGUGAAGCGGGUGGACCAACCUGGGUUUAGUGCUUGGCCUCGUGCUUGGUAUCCCAGGUGAGGGUGGCCCUGACACCUACAAUGCACACCAAGUGCUUCUUCUUUAGAAGAGCCUUGUUAUCUUACACAGCUACACAUUAAAAUGACUUGGGGGAGCUUUUU
rnacentral:lncRNA from 1 species